GCCCCCUUCCCCUUUCUCUCACAAACGCCACUCCCUAAACCCUAGCAGAGCAAUCACCACCAGAAGCCCUAGCCGCCACCUUCAUCACUGAUCUCCUCUUCUCUCCGUCGCGCUCGGAGCUCUUCUUGUCGUCGCGUCUCCCAGCUGACUGCGGUGGCUCUCUCUGCUCGAGGCUCUGAGCUCAACGUCCUUCUUCGAGCUCUCUCUCUGUCUCUCUCACUGCGACGUCUUUUUUUGCUCGAUUUAAGUAUUCGCCGACGGUCCUUGUUUUGGGCCGUGGACUCCUACUCUUAUUAAAAUUCUCUCUCUCUAGCCGAACGUUCUCUCUUGGAUUUUCUCUUCCUUGGAGCUCGAAUUAAGAUUCUGAAACUGUUAUUUGUUAUUGGAGGUGUUGGCUGCUGUGCGGUGUUUGCAACGUUGCUAUCCUACUGUAUUUGACUGAGUUCGGUAGAUUAAUAUGACUCUAGCCCACUAGAGUCUCUCUUAAUCUCACUCAAACUCAAACUCAUUUGUCUUGUCUCGUUGCUGACGUCUCAACGUCUCGUGGUCUUCUUUGAGCUCCUCGUCACCGGCAACAGAAGCAACUUGGGUCGUUGCUUGUUUCAUUGCCUUACCUGGGUCGUUGUCUUCUGGUUUUGGUUCCUCGCUGUGGCCGAGUCGCCGUGGACCGUUGGUGAGUCCUUGAAUCAUCGUUUCUCCUAUUCUGUCUUUUUUGGAUUUCCCUUCUUCCUGUAUUUUAAGAUGUUGAAUUGUUAAUCUAUUAUUUGCCUUGUUGAUCUAAAUGUUGCUUUAAAUCAUGAACGAAGUAGGAUUUUUUGAAUUUGUUGUUGAAUUUGUUGCUGAAAAUAUCACUGAGCUAAUUUUUUGGUUGAUGAAAAUCAUCACUGAGUUGAAUUUGUGCUCUUAUUGAAAUAAUCACUUUGCUAUAUUUUUUGUUGUUGUAAAUCAUCUUUGGAGCUAAUUUUUUUGUUGAUGAAAAUUAUCGUAGUUGAAUUCGUUGUUGAAUUUGUUGUAAGAAUAGAUUUCAUUCUUAGUAUUG